ACUCAAAGGAAUAGACGGGGCCCCGCACAAGCAGCGGAGCGUGUGGAUUAAUUCGAUGCAACGCGAAGAACCUCACCUGGGUUUGACAUGCACGUGGUAGGAACCCGAAAGGGGCCCGACCCGCAAGGGAGCGUGCACCGGUGCUGCAUGGCUGUCGUCAGCUCGUGCCGUGAGGUGUUGGGUUAAGUCCCGCAACGAGCGCAACCCCCGUCCCUAGUUGCCGUUUCUAGGGAGACUGCCGGGCGAACCCCGGAGGAAGGUGGGGAUGACGUCAAGUCCGCAUGGCCCUUACGUCCAGGGCUUCACACACGCUACAAUCGCCGGCACAGCGGGAUGCCACGGCGCGAGCCGGAGCCAAUCCCCCAAAACCGGUGCCAGUCCGGAUCGCAGGCUGCAACUCGCCUGCGUGAAGCCGGAGUUGCUAGUAACCGCGCGUCAGCACAGUGCGGUGAAUGCGUUCCCGGGGCUUGUACACACCGCCCGU
rnacentral:rRNA from 1 species